rnacentral:rRNA from 1 species
ACGCUAGCUACAGGCUUAACACAUGCAAGUCGAGGGGCAGCAUGUUGGCUGCUUGCAACCAAUGAUGGCGACCGGCGCACGGGUGAGUAACGCGUAUCCAACCUACCCAAUACUCAGGCAUAACCUGUUGAAAGACGGACUAAUUCCUGAUGGUAUGUAUUUUUCUCAUGAAUUAUACGUUAAAGAAUUUCGGUAUUGGAUGGGGAUGCGUCUGAUUAGUUUGUUGGUGAGGUAACGGCUCACCAAGACUUCGAUCAGUAGGGGUUCUGAGAGGAAGGUCCCCCACAUUGGAACUGAGACACGGUCCAAACUCCUACGGGAGGCAGCAGUGAGGAAUAUUGGUCAAUGGAUGGAAAUCUGAACCAGCCAAGUAGCGUGCAGGAUGACGGCCCUAUGGGUUGUAAACUGCUUUUAUGUGAGAAUAAAGUUAGGUAUGUAUACUUAUUUGCAUGUAUCACAUGAAUAAGGACCGGCUAAUUCCGUGCCAGCAGCCGCGGUAAUACGGAAGGUCCAGGCGUUAUCCGGAUUUAUUGGGUUUAAAGGGUGCGUAGGCCGUUUGAUAAGCGUGCUGUGAAAUAUAGUGGCUCAACCUCUAUCGUGCAGCGCGAACUGUUGAACUUGAGUGCGUAGUAGGUAGGCGGAAUUCGUGGUGUAGCGGUGAAAUGCUUAGAUAUCACGAAGAACUCCGAUUGCGAAGGCAGCUUACCGUAACGUUACUGACGCUUAAGCACGAAGGUGCGGGUAUCGAACAGGAUUAGAUACCCUGGUAGUCCGCACAGUAAACGAUGGAUGCUCGCUGUUGGCCUUUAAUGGUCAGUGGCUUAGCGAAAGCGUUAGGCAUCCCACCUGGGGAGUACGCCGGCAACGGUGAAACUCAAAGGAAUUGACGGGGGCCCGCACAAGCGGAGGAACAUGUGGUUUAAUUCGAUGAUAC